UACGUAGGGGGCGAGCGUUGUCCGAAGUUACUGGGCGUAAAGCGCACGUAGGCGGUUAUCUAAGUCUGGGGUGAAAGGUUCAGUGCUUAACGCGAACAGUGCCUUGGAGACUGGAUGACUUGAGUUUGGGAGAGGGUAGUGGAAUGGCUGGUGUAGCGGUGAAAUGCGUAGAUAUCAGUCGGAACACCAAUGGCGAAGGCAGCUACCUGGCCUAAAACUGACGCUGAGGUGCGAAAGCGUGGGGAGCGAACGGG
rnacentral:rRNA from 2 species